AGAACGAACGCUGGCGGCAUGCCUAACACAUGCAAGUCGAACGAGACCUUCGGGUCUAGUGGCGCACGGGUGCGUAACGCGUGGGAAUCUGCCCUUGGGUUCGGAAUAACAGUUAGAAAUGACUGCUAAUACCGGAUGAUGACGAAAGUCCAAAGAUUUAUCGCCCAGGGAUGAGCCCGCGUAGGAUUAGCUAGUUGGUGAGGUAAAGGCUCACCAAGGCGACGAUCCUUAGCUGGUCUGAGAGGAUGAUCAGCCACGCUGGGACUGAGACACGGCCCAGACCGUACCGUACGGGAGGCCAGGCGAGGUAGGGGAAUUAGUUAGGACAAAGUGGGACGAAAGCCUAGAUCCAGUCAAUCGCCGCGGUGAGUGAACGGAAGGUCGUUAGGUUAGUAAGCUUCGUUUACCGGGAUGAUAA
rnacentral:rRNA from 1 species